UACGGGGGGAGCAAGCGUUGUUCGGAUUUACUGGGCGUAAAGGGCGCGUAGGCGGCCACCGCAAGUCGACUGUGAAAUCUCCGGGCUUAACCCGGAAAGGUCAGCCGAUACUGCGGGGCUAGAGUGCAGAAGGGGCAACUGGAAUUCUCGGUGUAGCGGUGAAAUGCGUAGAUAUCGCUUGGAACGCCGACGGUGAAAACAGCUCGCUGGGGGUGUGCUGACGCUGAGACACGAAAGCCAGGGGAGCGAACGGG
rnacentral:rRNA from 1 species